GUCCCCGGCGUCCGGGCGCCCUGCAUGGAUCCCCCACCCCAGCUCCUGCUCCCCGGCGGCGGCCGGUGGGCAGAAAGACCGAAACCCACUCACGGCCGCCUGCCGAAUCGCGGCUCUGCUGUUUGUGGGGCGUGCUAGAAACGUGGUCCUAAAAAGAAUGGCGUCCAUUUACAUAAUGCUUUGUUUGCGUUUCGCAAGUUUCUUUCGGUUAAAGCCACAGAAACCCCACCUCCUGCCCUUGUGUCGUUUCCACCGCGGCACCCUUUUCCGACAUUAGAAACAAUAGUGUACGCCUGUGGAGGCCUCGUUUGUUCAGGGGCUGCCGGCCAGGGCUUCAGGACGUUUCUGCGGCUUUCCCCGCGCGGCCUGGGCUCCCGCGGCUGCUUUUCGGGCCCAUGGGCGCAGCCACUGCGCCAGGCUCAAGGGGGGCGGCCCCGUCAGGGCCCGCCAUCUUGGAAGGCCUUUUUUGCCGGUUCUUCCCGCUGAGGAAGUGUCGCUCAAGACGCUGGCCUAUGAGUUGUGAUUUCUGCCUUUUCCCCUUCCUCCUUGGGCUAAGCCAGACCAGAAAGGGCCCCGUGCGCAACGUGCUUCACAAUCUCUCAGGGAAAGCGGCUAACGUGGCGCUACUCCGCCUCCCCUGUUCCUUACCCUUGGGGCGGCCGCCAUGUUUCCUGAACACAAAAUGGCGACACGUGGUUAGCAUUCGUCGCCAACGAGAAAUUGGGGUCGGCCCGAAAGCUCUAGAAUGCACCCCUCUUCCUCCCCGGGGCCUUCCACCUCCGCGAGUUUUAUGACUUAAAAAAGCCCACAGGCUGGUCUGAAGGUCGGAGGCCUAAUUUUAACGCGUUUUCCUCCCUUUAAUUUGAAACGGGAACGCGAAUGACUGUAAAAUGUGGGCACAAUAUUUAAUCUCUCGCCUUUUUAAAGCUUAAUAGUGGAUAAUAGGGGGGCAGUAUCAAGGGAUAAUUUGGGUCCCCACAGUACCAAAGCAUUUAGAAACCUCUGUUUAAUUUAAGGAAUGAGAUAAGUUACUGCUUUUCUAGACUUCCUAGCAUGGGCUGUUGUGCUGGAGAGAACGAGAGCUACGAAGAGACUACAGUGCCUCUGACUUUUUCAUAGGACAGUUGGCCGGUGAAUCUUAUUAAUAGUUUACCACAAUUAAGUGUUCAUUUUUAGUCUAGAAGGGACAGGCGUUUAUUGUGCAUUGGCCAGUGCCAGCACAUCCGAUGCAAGGCAGUUCACCGUAUUCUAUCUUUAAUUUUUACCAUGGUCCUCUGAGGUAGGUGUUCUUAUCUCUCUCUCUCUCUCUCUCUUUUAAACAGAGGAAGACAAACAUAAAGAUGAAGUGCUUAAUUCAAGGUCACACAAUGUCGGGGAUGGACCUCCAGAUUUCCUUACUGACCUGCAUUAUCUUGUGGAUACCUGAGUGAAUUCCACACCACCCAUUUUAUAGAUGAAACCACUGAGACAUGGAGCAAUUGACUGAGUAGUCACUGCCCCACCCCUGCCUGGAGCCUCACACAUGACUCGCCUCCUCUCAGUGACCACAGGUGAGACGUGGUCUUGUAACACAGUGGUUAAGAAUGUGACUUUGGAGCCAGCCUGCUAGGGGCUGAAUUCUGACUCAGCCAUUUACUAACUGUGUGACCUUAGGCUGGAGUGCAAUGGCAUGAUCUCGGCUCAUCACAACCUCUGCUUCCUGGGUUCAAGCGAUUCUCCUGCCUCAGCCUCCCGAGUACCUGGGACUACAGGCACUCGCCACCAUGCCCGGCUGAUUUUUGUAUUUUUAAUAGAGAUGGUUUCACUAUGUUGGCCAGGCUGGUCUCGAACUCCUGACCUUGUGAUCUGCCCACCUCAGCCUCGAAAAGUGCUGGGAUUACAGGCGUGAGCCACUGCGCCCAGCCUUGUAUUUUUUUUCAGUUUGGGUAGCUGUCCCUAAUUCAUUUGUUAAAGGAGAAGCAAGAGCAAGAACCUUUAAUCUGUUCUCCUCUUCCCUAAUUUGAAAGUAGCUUGUUAUUUUGAAUAUCACUUUCUCUGAAAUAGCACAUCUCCAUCUCAGAGAAUGGAUUUAAUGUUUGGAUACAGCCAAAAGUCAUUUCAUUACCAAACCAUGGGGUGAAUAUACCAUGUAAAGCAGUUUGGGAUCAGAACUCACAGUCUGAAUUGUAAGUGAUGAGACUGCUGUCUCUCUGCUACAGCUUCUUGGCUGGCUCUGAAGGCUCUUUGAAGGCAGAUCCUAACAAGGGGACUGCUUUGAAGGGCCAUUGUUCAUUUGGAAUGAUAAAGUCUAUGUUGUUCAAAAAACAAAUGCUUGUAGCAGGUAUUUUUUCACUCCAGACUGAGAAUAUUGGUGGGAUAUUGAUAAGGGGUACUGAAUGGUAAUAAACAUGUGCUCUAGCUCUGUGCUAGUCAGCUUAUUUCAGAACUCUAGUUUGAUUCAGUUUCUUGCCUCUGACUCAAAAUGGAGGGAGAGUGAUUUUUACAUAAGAGAACACACCCACAUAUCCUUUUGGCAGCAGCUACCUGCCAGAGAUGUUGAAGAAGAGUAGCCAACCUUUACACAGCAGAUAUUGUGUGCCAGUCAUAGUCCUAAGUAUAAUACCUUACAUGUAUAAACUUCUUAUAAGGUUGGUGCUCUGUACCGAAUUGAAUAGUAUCCCCCAAAAUUCAUGUUGUCCCAGAACCUAUGAAAGUGAUCUUACUUGAGGGAGGGGGGAGGGGGGAGGGAUAGCAUUAGGAGAUAUACCUAAUGCUAAAUGACGAGUUAAUGGGUGUAGCACACCAGCAUGGCACAUGUAUACAUAUGUAACUAACCUGCACAUUGUGCACAUGUACCCUAAAACUUAAAGUAUAAUAAUAAUAAAAUAAAAAAAAAAAAGAAAGUGAUCUUACUUGGAAAUAAGGUCUUUGCACAUAUGAUCAAGUUGAGAUGAAGUUGUACUGGAAAGUCUGUCUAGUGACUGGUGUUGUCAUAAGAAGAGAGGGACACAGAGGGAAGAUGGCCACAUGAAGAUGGAGGCAGAGAUUGCAGUUAUGCUGCUGCAAACUAAGGAAUGGCUCUGGCCCUCCAAGGAUUGCUGAUAACCACCAGAAACUAGAAGAGACAAGGAAGGAUUCUUCCCUAGAGCCUUCAGAGGGAGCAUGGCCCUACUGACACCUGGAUUUCAAACUUGUAGCUUCCUAAACUGCAAGAGAAUAAAUUUCUGUUGUUUUAAGCCA
rnacentral:lncRNA from 1 species